UAAACGUAUAAUUCGAGUUUGGCAAUUGGCAUUGUUACAAUUUCAAUUAAAUGAACACUGAGGGUAGUUUAAAAGAUUUUUUUAGGGAAAUUACGACAACUGCACCAACACGACAUUUAUAGAUACAUUCAAAAAUGGACGAUACUCCACAUACAAAUAGUCGAUGAAAAUGUGAUUAUCCCAAAGGAAAUCUUGGCAUAAAGUGGGAUUCAUAUACAAUGGCAACAAGAAAACUGCCAUAUAUCCUACUAAGUAUUCGCAAAACAAGGGCAUGUGCUAACUAAAACCCAACAACGCAAUAGGCACAACCGAAAAAUAAAGUAAAUAUAUUUUAUUGAUCCUCUAUCCAUUGUAUUCUACAGCUUUGAAACUAUUUACAAGUUUAAUAAGUUAUCCUUAGUUAGUAACUAUUCUCAUUAACAUAACAAUUUCCAUUUUUUUACCAAUGUUUUGGUUUGGCUUCGCUGUCUUAAAUGUAAUCUGUUGACUUUCUGACCCUAUGUAAUUUUUUUUCUGAUACCUAAUUCCAGAUUUCUACUAGAAAAUACUCAAUGGUUAAAGUAAUAUAAAUCCUAUUUGACAGAAUGUCUGGAGUCAUGAAACCAUCUACAUGGUAUUGAAUAAUGAACAAAACCUAAUUAAAAAUAAGGUUAUUGAGGCAGGGGAUUAAGUAUUUUCAAAGUAUUAAAAAUAAGGGCUUCAUUAUGUCUUGCAUCUUGUUCUAGUCUAUCAGGUAAAAACAAAAUCAGGACAAACUAUGGAGACCAUAUUUGACUAAGAUAAAUCCCCUUACUUAGUUUGCCUUUUUGAUAUUUUAUAUAUACUUUCGAGUGUACCUAAAUUUAUUAAAAUUUGUAGCAUUUUCUGGUGCCACCGCCUUUCACUCCCUGUUGUUGGAGCUUUCGGUGUCUCGGAGGUCUUUUCUUCCGGAGCUUUUCUCCGUUGACUGCUUAGUGUAGAAGAGAAGUUUUAAGUUGUGAUAAUUAAUAACACCACCCGAGUACUUCAAUAAGUGUAUUAAGUUAGUCGUAUGUGAUAGAAUAUCUUAUAACAAGCCUUAUCGAGAUUGUUUUGCAAAUAGGGGAAGAAAAAAUACUUGACCAAAAUAUAUGCCUGAUAAGCUAGUAUUUAAGGGGUCCUAAAAGUAUAAGAAACGAAUAAAAAGGUCAUUGUCACCUAGGGGCCGUUCAAGUAUCACGAUCUACAGGAGGGCCUAGGGGUGUCUUUGGUUUUAUUACGUCAACAGAAAUAAACUUUUUGCACAUAUGCUUAUGUACCAUUAUUUUUGAGAGCCCUUGCUUACUUUUGCUUAAGGGGGGGGGGGGGUGUUUGAUAAAACACAAAGGAAAAGGCCAACAGUCAAACAUAACAUUCAAGAUACAUAUGAGGGGUGUAAAAUCAAAAGUGCCACUGUAAGAAAUUUGUAGCAGGGCAUUAUUGCAUUAGAAUGGGCAGAGCAGUGUUUGUUUUUAUGUACAGGAAGGUACUAUCACGUCAACAUCUUUUAUUUUAAUUUUUUUACCACAACUUUGUGUUU